UACGUAGGGGGCAAGCGUUGUCCGGAUUUAUUGGGCGUAAAGAGCGUGUAGGCGGCCAAGCAGGUCAGCUGUGAAAACUCGAGGCUCAACCUCGAGACGUCGGUUGAAACCGCUUGGCUAGAGUCCGGAAGAGGAGAGUGGAAUUCCCGGUGUAGCGGUGAAAUGCGCAGAUAUCGGGAAGAACACCCGUGGCGAAGGCGGCUCUCUGGGACGGUACUGACGCUGAGACGCGAAAGCGUGGG
rnacentral:rRNA from 1 species